CACGUAGGGUGCAAGCGUUGUCCGGAAUUAUUGGGCGUAAAGAGCUCGUAGGCGGCUAGUCACGUCGGAUGUGAAAACCCGAGGCUCAACCUCGGGCCUGCAUUCGAUACGGGCUGGCUAGAGUACUGCAGGGGAGACUGGAAUUCCUGGUGUAGCGGUGAAAUGCGCAGAUAUCAGGAGGAACACCGGUGGCGAAGGCGGGUCUCUGGGCAGUAACUGACGCUGGAGGAGCGAAAGCCGUGGGGAGCGAACAGG
rnacentral:rRNA from 1 species